CAGUCGCCGCGGUAAUACGUAGGUGGCAAGCGUUGUCCGGAAUUAUUGGGCGUAAAGCGCGCGCAGGUGGUUUAAUAAGUCUGAUGUGAAAGCCCACGGCUCAACCGUGGAGGGUCAUUGGAAACUGUUAAACUUGAGUGCAGGAGAGAAAAGUGGAAUUCCUAGUGUAGCGGUGAAAUGCGUAGAGAUUAGGAGGAACACCAGUGGCGAAGGCGGCUUUUUGGCCUGUAACUGACACUGAGGCGCGAAAGCGUGGGGAGCAAACAGGAUUAGAUACCCCAGUAGUCCCUGUCUCUUAUAC
rnacentral:rRNA from 1 species